CAGCUCUGUCCAAAGCCUGUCUGCUGCCCUGGUUGACUCGGUCCUGGAGCUGCUUCCACCCACCUCUGGCACUGAUGGGGGCAGCUCGGCCUGCCGUCCUCAGGCUCCCUCCACACCUGGGGAACAGAGUUGACUGGCCCUCAGAUCUCAUGUUGAGUGCAGAGCGUGUGGCCCCGCCUGGGCCCCUCAGCAGAGAACUUUCAACUCCGAGUUGCCUCCAGCUCACAGGCCCCUCCUCUGACCUGAGCUCCGACUGACCCCUGGUGGACUUGGGUGAUCCCUCAGAGCCCACAGCAUGAGGGUGCCUUGGGAGGACCAGGUAGGCCUGAAGGUCGGUCUCAGCAGAGACGUCCAGAUGAGAUGCUGAGAUUAAGGGAUUUGCCCAAGAUCACAGAGAUCACAGAGCUGUAAGUGGUUAAAGCUGGAGUUUACAAAGUGUCUUUUGAUUCCUAACUCAGUGCUCUUUCUAAGAGAGCACAGAAGAUGAACAUUCUGGAGAGGAGGCUGAGAUGGGAGCAAGCCCGUCUCCCACCCGCCCCAGUUGGAGUUCCCUCCCGUUUGAAAGCAGAGCUCGCUGCAGCAGGAGGCCUGUGAUCAGCGUUUCUGUCGUCUCCAAACCAACUGCGAGAAACUGCCUAAUUAAAGUCUGCAGCAUGCCCAGAAGCCUCUGCAGCUGCCAGUUGUUGCCUGUGCAUUCUCAGCGCCCGAUGAUGAAUAUUCUUCAUGUUUAUGUGGCACGAUGCUCUCUGCUCCAGGAGCAUGAAGUAUUAGUGAGCCAAUUGCACCAUCCACGCAGCUCCAGAGCGACCAGCAGGCAUCCCUGUUCUAAUUUAUGAGGGACCAGCAUGUGCAAUCAAUAGGUGCCCCACAGGUUAUUAAAGAAGAGAAGGAUGGCCCCGGAGGCCCUGUUUACUAACAGGGAAAUGGUCUCCUGGCAGCUUCUGGCACAUGGCCUGAGAGAGAUUUACAUUUGCUUUUCCGUCCAGAAACAGGGGCCUUCCCUUUUCAUCUCAGCCCUAAACCUGAGAACAAGGGGCUGGUGGAGGCACAGACAGAAAAUGCCCUUCUCUACACUGGAAUCCCGGAGGGGGCUCGGGGAACCAGGGGUCUGAGGGUAGGGACCAGCCCAAAGGUUCCAUCAGGCCAUUUAUGUUUUGAGCCCCAGAAAACAAUAACAUCCCAGGAUCUGGGUUGAGACAUAGCGGGUGGAAGUAGAUGGAUGGUGUGCAGUCACGCCAAUGAAGCAAAAAGAAAUAGGCGAUUCCUACCAGGACACCAGAAGGGGAGGUGGUCCUUGAUCAGCCCUGCAAGGCUUUGGGGAUGUUAUUAUUCACAUCUUUUGCCUUUUCUCUUUGUUUUGGGUCCCUCGAUUUCAGGAAUCUGCAGUUCUUUUGCAGUUUUCUUAACAGGUUUGGAGAAACAGGGCAGGUUGGGUUUAAAAAUAAAACAGUAACAGCAUUGGCUUAUUUGGGUUACUUGAGUGGAGUGGAAAGAAGAAGCUCCCUCCAGCUCCUGUCUGGAAGGCAGAGCAGUGUAAUGUAGCGGCGCUUGCUCAAACUCGCCCGUGUCAGCACCACUUUCCACUCUGAAAAUGGAUGUAGUUUAUGUCUAUCAGUAGAAAAUCUAAAAUGUUUAUUAAAUAAUGUUAAAAUAACAAUAAUAAAGCCAUUACAUAUUAACAUCAAUAACAUAGUGUAUUAAAAAAAUGUAUCUUCCAAAACAAAAUUAAAUUCGGGAAGAGUGACUUUUUUUAACUUAAAAAAAUUUUUUUACGAUUUAAAGAAAACGUCUGGAUUAAUAGAAAGUAAGUGGAUUCUCAUAUCUGCAGUCAACAUGUUGCAAUAUGUUGCUUUGGCUAAAGUAUAUGAAGCCAAUCCAGCUUUACACAGAUAUGUGGCUAGAAAAACAAAAAGCAUUUAAUAGUCUUUUAAAGUAAUAUAGAUAUUCAUUUUGAUACUGUACUAAAAUAUAACCAGCUUCCUUUUUUUAAGAUUUUAUUUAUUUAUUUUAGAGAGAGGGGAAGGGAGAAAGAGAGGGAGAGAAACAUCAAUGUGUGGUUGCUACUCACAUGGCCCUCACUGGGGACCUGGCCCACAACCCAGGCAUGUGCCCUGACUGGGAACUGAACCAGCGACCCUUUGGUUUGCAGCCCGCACAAAUGUAACCAGCUUCUAAAAGGCUAGUUGCAAUGUGGAAUCUGAAAGCAUAGCAGUGAACUUUCUUUCUGUUACAUUAAAAUCCACUGCCUUAUUGUGUACUUUGAA